rnacentral:rRNA from 1 species
UACAGAGGGGGCGAGCGUUGUUCGGAAUUACUGGGCGUAAAGGGCGCGUAGGCGGCCUUCUAAGUCGAACGUGAAAUCCCCGGGCUCAACCCGGGAACUGCGUCCGAUACUGGAAGGCUUGAAUCCGGGAGAGGGAUGCGGAAUUCCAGGUGUAGCGGUGAAAUGACGUAGAUAUCUGGAGGAACACCGGUGGCGAAGGCGGCAUCCUGGACCGGCAUUGACGCUGAGGCGCGAAAGCCAGGGGAGCAA